CAAAGAGGAGAAAAAUAUUUCUCUCCACUGCCUAAAGAACAAGAUGAAUUUUAAUACUUUGAGUUUGAAGAAUGAUGUUUCAAGUUUCGUCACUUCUGCACCGCAUCUGACCCUUAGGAAUCCAGCUCAAGGCAUGUAUGGAUAAAGGCAAGCACUCUAAGCCCACUACUUUUGAGCCUGCCCACCCUCUGACAAGGAGUUCCAGGUCUGCCCUGGGGAGAGGCUGGCCACGUCACUUCUGUUGAGUUUCCUCGAAGAUAUAAUACGAGUUCUAGACAAAAGACCAGCUGGAAAGCUCAAGCAGACUGGGACCACGUAGCAAAACAAAGUGCAGAACACAUCUUCUUUUCUUUAUAAGAAGCAUUUUGCCUACUUUCAAAAUUCCAGUUACCACCAGGCCUGGUGGCUCACACCUGCAGUCCCAGCACUUUGGGAAGCUGAAGCCGGUGGAUCACUUGCAAUCAGGAGUUUGAGACAGCCUGGCCAACAUGGUAAAAUCCGGUCUCUACUAAAAAUACAAAAGAUUGCAGCAUUUUCUUCAAUGGUAGCCGCUUUUCUCAUGGGAGAGGGAUUGUGAUUCAGCUCUUGACUCUUCUAAGUGCUUCAUUCUGCUACAGCUCUGAAAUCUUUGCAAAGAUCUAACACCAUCAAAUGGAAGAGCAUACAAUCUAAAGUGAAAAUUACGAGCUCCCUCAAGCUGGUGGAUCACACACACUGUUCAAUAGGUAACUGUUGUGGCUUUUUCAAACAGAUUGAACAUCUUUUCAAGUGUUUAUCAGUUAACCCAAUUCCCUUCUCAGUGAGUAUCUGUUAAUUUUAUUUGCAGAUUUUAAUGUUUGUCUGUUAUUGUUGUA
rnacentral:lncRNA from 13 species